rnacentral:rRNA from 1 species
GCCUGACUGUAAACCUCUAGCCAAAAAAGUACAAGCUAACCGCUCAAAACUUAAAAGACCUGGCGGUACUCUAUAUCAGCCUAGAGGGGCCCGUCCAAUAACCGAUAAUCCACGAUAAACCCUACCGCCUCUCGCCACUUCAGCCUAUAUACCGCCGUCUCCAGCACAUUUUUCAAAAAAUGGAAGCCUAAUAGUAUUUAUCACUAGUACGUCAGGUCAAGGUGUAGCUUAUGAAGCGGAUAGCGCGAGCCACAAUAAUAUAACGCACUGAAACCCUGUUGAAAUAUAGGACAGAAAGAAGAAUUUAGCAGUAAGGAGGGUUGAAUGCCCUCCUGAACCUCCACGCCCUAGAGUACGC